rnacentral:pre_miRNA from 1 species
CAAAUACUCCCUCCGUCUGGAAAUACUUGUCAUCAAAAUGGAUAAAAGGAAAUGUAUCUAGACGUAUUUUAGUUUUAGAUACAUCUCUUUUUAUCCAUUUUUAUGACAAGUAUUUUCGGACGGAGGGAGUAUUUA